rnacentral:lncRNA from 1 species
AUCUGUUAUUUAUUCAUUUUUUCCCCUCUCUUUCUGCCUCAUUUGGGUCAACCGGAUUGUUUUCAUGAUUCUAUUUUACCUUUUUUUGUUGGUUUAUUAGCUAUAACUCAUUUAAAAGUGUGUGUGUAUAUACAUGUGCACAUACACACAUACAUAGUAGCUUUAGAGUUUAUAGUAUACAUCUAACUUAUCACAGUCUACUUUCAAAGAUGUCAUUCUACUUCCCAUGUAAUAUUUUUAUAAACUGCAUUUUUGAUUAUUUCUAUUGCUAUGUUUUCAGAUCCAUUAAUCAUUUCUUCUCAAAUAUUUAAUCUGCCAUCAACCUUAUUCAGUGUAAUUUUUCAUCUCAAACAUAUUUUCAUUUCUAGAAGUUUGAUUUGUAUCUUUUUAGUAUCUUCCAUGUUGCAACUUUUUAAACAUACAACAUACAGCUAUAAUCGUGGUUUUAAUAUCCUUGUCUGUGAAUUCUAAUAUCUGCCUCGGUUUUGGUUUGGUUUCAAUGGACAUUUUUUUUUUCUUCAUUGUGGUUGUAUUUUUGCCUUCCUGGUAAUUUUUCUAUUGUAUGGCAGACAUGGGGUAUUUUUCCCUGUUAAGUGGGGUUUUUUAAAUUGUUAUUCCUAUAAAUUUUCUUGAACUUUUUUGGGGAUGUAGCUAAAUUACUUGGAAACAUUUUGAUUCUUCCAGGUCCUAUCUUUAAGAUUUGUUAGGCAGGACCCGAGCAGUAUUUAGUUCAGGACUAACUUUACCACACUACGGAGGCAAAACCUUUUUGAGCUCUCUGCUCAAGGAUGCAUGUAUUAUUAAACUUUCCAGUUUGGCUGGCGGGAAAAGGCAUCGUGCCCAGCCAUGUGGGGGCACUUGACAUUUUUCUAAUCCUUUAGGAUGGUUCUUUCCCUGGUUUGGGGUUUUUUCCCUCAUGUGAGUGCUAACCAGUCGUCUGAUAAAAACUUGAAACUCUUUCUGGAUCUUUUCAUCAUCUUUACAGGAAUGAAGGGAAUAUCUUAGAUCAGCUGAUUAAAAGUUUUUUUCUUAACUGGGAUUGGCAAUCUCAUUUACUACCUGUCCUGGGUAUGACCCAUCACUACCAGCUUUCAGGGUGGGGUCAGGAUGGGCUGUCAGUUCCUGCCAAAAAAACUUGGAAUAACUGAUGAGAAAAGUCAGUGGCCCUUUCUCCCUCAGAAAUAUCACUCUUCUAUUUAGGGUGGUGAUUUUUCUUUUCUCAUACUUGAUUUGGUUAUCUGUUUUUCUCUGAUUUUUCUAGAAUUAUUAUAUUUGAUUUAUAUUUGGGGAAUAGUAUUAAAAUAACCAGACCAAAAUUACAUCCCACCCCCUCAAUCAUCAUUUGUAUUACUUAUUCCAUUUUUUUUUUUUUUCCUGGCUUCUAAUGCCUCUGGGUCAUUAGAAGCCAUGGCUGAGACAUCAGCAGGUCUUCUAAAGGCUGGUACUUCCAUGAGCAGUAAGCCCCAGGGGCCAGCUCACUCUCUUUUCUCUACAGCAUGAUCAUAUGCUUCCUUUCUUGAGCUGUGGUACCAUGUGUCUCUCUUCCUCUCCAGAUCGAUACGCAGCACCCAACCCCAGUCCUUUGGAACAAGCCGUUCCAGUGCUCAGGCUUGUUUCUUGUGCCUUAAUUCAUCUCCAGAUUUUCUUUUCAAAAUCCCACAGACUUACCCCUUCAGAGCUUUUCCCCCUUCCUGUUAUAUCUGUACUGCCUGUUCCUCCCUGAUGCUGUGCUUUACCCAUAUUUGUGUCAUCUUAAUUAGUCCUGCACGCCUUCAUUUGAACACCUCCCUUUCCUCUCAGUGAUGGCUCUGCGGCUGCUUCCUUCACUUGUCUCAGGCUCGGUUCCUUUCCCCUCGGCCUUUUCUCUUUUGCGUCUGGAGUCUAUUAUUACUAAAUGUGUUAUCCUCACUUUCUUUUCCUUUGAGAUUAUACAUAUAUAUAUAUAUAUUGUCUUCUGCAGAUAUCUUAAGAUGUUUCUGCUCCUUAUUUCCUGUGUUUACUGACAUUAGGCGAAGCUAAGGAAUCAGAGACAAGACAACCUGAUCUUUCCUCUGUCCAAGCAAUCCUCUGCUGGCAACUCUCCUUCAUUUCCAAUUACUUCAUUUGUUCUCUUUUUGUCUUUUUUCACAUCCAAACUGUAAUCUAUGUUUUCCUUUCUUCCUCUAUAUCCUAGAGCUGGUAGAACAGAACCUGGCAUGUAAUACACAUUCACUAAAUAUUUGUUGAAUAAAAACAAAUGAAUGAAUGAAGGAAUUUGGGUAAUUACCACCUGAGUUGUCAAUUCUUUGAUCUUAUUUUAGUUCCAGCUGGUCCAGUUGGUUCAGCAUUGUUUGUCAUGAAUAUUUUUAUAUUAUUUGCCUUAUCUCAGGCCCCAUACAGGGGCUCUCAUUCUCUAGAGAAAGUGAUAUUUCAUCUAUGGCUUUUGCAUCUAUUAUGAUGCCUUACUAUGUUUUUGAUGUGUUUUCUUCGAUUUAGGGGAAGUGUGGGCUUUUGUACAUAGAAAGGAAAUAGGUAUUUGAAUAUUGAAAUAAUAUUUAAUUAACUUCAGCUGCAAAUUUGAAACUAUAAUUUUCUCAGGCCUUUGCAAUUCUGAUUUUACUUAUAGACCAAGUAAUUUUUGUAAAAUUUAAAACCAUCCUUCCACUUGUAUAUCAAGUAACUCAGAUGCCUGACAAGGCUGAUUUAAACCUUGGCAAGCAAAAUCAAAGCACCUGUAAAUCUAAAAACUGGCCCUUAAACAACAUAAUGAGUCAAAGCAUUCAAAGACUGCUUAUAAACAUUAUCAAAUUAUCAGGACUUUGUAACUAAAAUGGGAAUAAAAUUAAGUAUAAAUUUCAAAUUGAAAUCAUUAAGCUAAAUUUUUUAGAUUCUUUAAUGUGUCAGAUUUUCUUAAACAUUGCUAAUACUUUAAACACAAAUAUUGUAACUUCUAUUUCUCUUAAUAAAUAGUAUUAAUACUACAGGUCCAAUCUACUUCAUGAUCCUAUGUUUAAUUCUAAGCCUCUUGUUCUUGGAAAAUCAUUUACCAAUGGAGGGGAGCAGUUUCACCAUCCCAGGUGCACUGGGGCUACUGGGUUAAGACUUGGGGCUGUGAUAUAGUCACUUAUUUAUCAGAUGUUCAAGACUAGGACAUAGCCCCAGGAUGGAGGGCUGCAAACUUCUAGAAGAAUUCGUCCCAAGCCACAGAAGUCACCCUGAGUAUUAUUCUGUCUGCCAUGUCCAUGAGGGAUCCAUGCUCCUGUCCUUCCGAGGGGCUUGAUUUGGUAGACUGUGUCCCCCUGGCCAUUUUAAUCCCAAAUUACAUCUUUACCCAAAUCCCAUCUUUAAACAUGUUUUAUCUUUUUUGGGGGGAGGGGGGUCAUCUGAAUUAUGUGCUUGUAUUUGGUUUGCCACAAAUUGCCUUUAUCCUUUGGUUAGAGUCAUCAUUUCUUUCAAACUUUUCUUAACUGACUCUUUUGACUAUAAAUGGGGGGAAAAAAAUCCAAUUCAAACUGAAAGUAGUGGAAGUAG